ensembl:snoRNA
UGAUGGCAAUGAUGAUUUUUACACUUAUUUCACCUGAUAACAUAAAUAUGAAGGUGUUCAGUCACUACCUCAUCUGAUGCCAUCA